GACGAACGCUGGCGGCGUGCCUAACACAUGCAAGUCGAGCGGAAAGGCCCUUCGGGGUACUCGAGCGGCGAACGGGUGAGUAACACGUGAGUAACCUGCCCCAGACUUUGGGAUAACCCUCGGAAACGGGGGCUAAUACCGGAUACGACACAGCUUCGCAUGGGGUCUGUGUGGAAAGUUUUUCGGUUUGGGAUGGGCUCGCGGCCUAUCAGCUUGUUGGUGGGGUGAUGGCCUACCAAGGCGACGACGGGUAGCCGGCCUGAGAGGGCGACCGGCCACACUGGGACUGAGACACGGCCCAGACUCCUACGGGAGGCAGCAGUGGGGAAUAUUGCACAAUGGGCGGAAGCCUGAUGCAGCGACGCCGCGUGAGGGAUGACGGCCUUCGGGUUGUAAACCUCUUUCAGCAGGGACGAAGCGUAAGUGACGGUACCUGCAGAAGAAGCGCCGGCCAACUACGUG
rnacentral:rRNA from 1 species